rnacentral:sRNA from 1 species
UUUGAAAAAUUAGGCUUUUAGAAUAUCAACUGAUAGAUUCAGCUUGACACAAGUUUGGCUCUGUACCUGACAGUUUUAAAAAAAACCCAAGAUUUUGAUGUAAAUUCAUAUACUGAGUGAAACUUAUUUGUAGAUAUCAGUCACAUGUAUUGCUAAAUCAAUCUUACAAAUGCAACAUGUAAUUUCAAACUUUAUAACUUAAUAAUGAUUAAUUAGGAUAUAGUAACAAAAAUUUCGAAAUUAACUAGUGGGAAGAACAUUUAUUUCAUUUUUCACCCUAUUUCUGUUAUAAUUUUAGUUUUGCUUUACAAUGUACAUUUUUGAAAAUAUAAAUUCAACUUUUGUACAUGAAUAGCUUUUGUCACAGAGACAGAUUUGCUAGGUACAGGGACUGAGUUAGGCUUCGCAUGUUCAGCUCAUUCUUUUGAUGUUACUGUCUUUGCAAACUUUUUUCAAAUUUUCUUGCAGUAAAGGUAGAAUAAACUCCACAAAAAUU